AAAAACACUGGGUAGACGCCGCUAGAAGCUCCUGGAGAAUUUUGUGUUCCACAGCCUCCGAAGAAAAAUUGGGCGGGGAUUCGUCCGCUCAUUGCCAAGUUUUCGAGGCAGUGGAAAACAAGAGUUGGGACAUGGACAGCCGCUUGCAGGAGAUCCGGGAGCGGCAGAAGUUACGGCGACAGCUUCUCGCGCAGCAGUUGGGAGCUGAAAGUGCUGACAGUAUUGGUGCUGUGUUAAAUAGCAAAGAUGAGCAGAGAGAAAUUGCUGAAACAAGAGAAACUUGCAGGGCUUCCUAUGAUACCUCUGCUCCAAAUGCAAAACGUAAGUAUCAGGAUGAAGGAGAGACAGAUGAAGACAAAAUGGAAGAAUAUAAGGAUGAAUUAGAAAUGCAACAGGAGGAAGAGAAUUUGCCAUAUGAAGAAGAGAUUUACAAAGAUUCUAGUACUUUUCUUAAGGGAACACAGAGUUUAAAUCCCCAUAAUGAUUACUGUCAACAUUUUGUAGACACCGGACAUAGACCUCAAAAUUUCAUCAGAGAUGUAGGUUUGGCUGACAGAUUUGAAGAAUACCCUAAACUGAGGGAGCUCAUCAGGCUGAAGGAUGAGUUAAUAGCUAAAUCUAACACUCCUCCUAUGUACUUACAAGCAGAUAUAGAAGCCUUUGACAUCAGAGAACUAACACCCAAAUUUGAUGUAAUUCUUCUUGAACCCCCUUUAGAAGAAUAUUACAGAGAGACUGGCAUCACUGCUAAUGAAAAAUGCUGGACUUGGGAUGAUAUCAUGAAGUUAGAAAUUGAUGAGAUUGCAGCACCUCGAUCAUUUAUUUUUCUCUGGUGUGGUUCUGGAGAGGGAUUGGACCUUGGAAGAGUGUGUUUACGCAAGUGGGGUUACAGAAGAUGUGAAGAUAUUUGUUGGAUUAAAACCAAUAAAAACAAUCCUGGGAAGACUAAGACUUUAGAUCCAAAGGCUGUCUUCCAGAGAACAAAGGAACACUGCCUUAUGGGGAUCAAAGGAACUGUUAAGCGUAGCACAGACGGAGACUUCAUUCAUGCUAAUGUUGACAUUGACUUGAUUAUCACAGAAGAACCUGAAAUUGGCAAUAUAGAAAAGCCUGUAGAAAUUUUUCAUAUAAUUGAACAUUUUUGUCUUGGUAGAAGACGCCUUCAUUUAUUUGGAAGAGAUAGUACAAUUCGACCAGGCUGGCUUACAGUUGGACCAACUCUUACAAAUAGCAACUACAAUGCAGAAACGUAUGCAUCCUACUUCAGUACCCCGAAUUCCUACUUGACUGGAUGUACAGAAGAAAUUGAGAGACUUCGACCAAAAUCACCUCCUCCCAAAUCUAAAUCUGAUCGGGGAGGUGGAGCUCCCAGAGGAGGAGGAAGAGGAAUUCAGAGCAGAUGAUCAGAACGGUCAGAAUUUGGUAUCUGUUGAGCCAUGAGCAUGGUUAAUGGAGCCACACAUGCAAAUCAUUGUCUCCACCUGCCUCCUGUAUAAUUCAGAAGAGCCAGGGCAUCAUCUUACUUCCUUUCACGUGCGGAAUCACCCAAAGGGCCUGCGGCUACUAGCUUCACGCCAGCUGCAGCGAGGAAGGUUUGUUACAUAUUGGCUGGGAGGGCCCUGCUUCCUACUGCUGCUUUAUAUAGGCUUUUCUUUUUUUUUUUUAAUCAAGUAGAAUAGUGUUGUCAACAUGGCUUGCUUUUAUUCCUUUAUGUUAUUUUGGCCGGGGCCUUCGGCUGAUAAACUCUGAACCAACCCCGAACUAAUAAUAAUAUAACAACCGCUUGCUACCAUUACAAGCCAGCUAAUUCCAUGUGGAUAUGGACACGUGUGAUGUCUUGGCUUGUCAGUGCCAAGCCCUGGGAGCUGACACUGGAACAGCUGUGUGGAUAGUCAUAUUCCACUCUGACGUGGGGAAAGAAACUAACCCCUUCAUGGAAACAUCUCCAAAGGAGUUUAAGAUGUGCAUCCUGGUGAGCCUGAAACCAAGGCGAUUUUCUCUUUCCUUGUGUUUUCUCCACCUUUCCCCAGGUGCCACUAGGAUCUCUGCCAUUGUCCAUUAUUGGCAACAGCAACGUGGGUCCAGCCUCAGUGACACAACUCAGGCUGAGACUGGGCAGAAUAAAAACCAUUGUGGAGGGAAGGAUUUGAGACCUUGAUUUCCUUAGAAUUUAAUUUCUCUAUGGAAAUUAAUGGAAGUUCAUAUUGCUCAUCUGUGGGGUAUUUUCUAAUGCUGCCAUUCACUUAGGUUAUUUUUUUGGUUUUCAUGUGGUACUCGCUGUAAAACCUUGUCUGAUGAAUGCAUCUGGCCAUGAUGUAAAGUGGGAGAUGGACUUGGGAGUGAAUUUUGGCCUUGGGGGGAAACUCAACCAUAAGGUAAAGUAAUUCAUAUCCUGCUCUACCAUUCGAGUCUCUACAAAGUUGGACCACCCAGCACUUGUUGGCGGAAGGUCUCAGGGAAUUGCGUUUAUAGAAGUGGGGGGUAUGCUAUCUUGACACGCUAGUGGUCUUCUCCUCAAGGGGUACACCACACAAAUCAGAGGAGAAAACACUGGGAUGGAUUGGGAAUCCAUAUUUUGUUACCCUCCGUAACAUUUCUACAGGGAGGGACAUAGCUCUGUGGAGUGGGGGAAGAACAGCAAAAUGGUCACUGUUGGUCUCCUUCCCAGCUUCCUGUGUGUCCUCUCCAAGAAAUGACUGGCUAAUUCAAGAGGUCUAAGUCUGAUAUUCUCUGGGCCAGCUCACCAGUGGCCUUACAGAAUUAUUGUACUUCAUAAGCCAUUUUCGUCUCUCAUUGCCUAUUUCACAGGGAACAGAUAAAAGGUAGCAGUGAUUAGGAUGGCCCAGAAGGAGUAUGUUGAAUGAAAGGAGAAGAGAGCCACGGAUAUAACUUAAGAGAACAGCAACUCUUUUUAAGGGGCAGAUGACUGAAGAGAAGCCAGAGGAAAAAGGGGGAAAAUGGCCCCAUAAUACCCUGGCUCCUGUAGAGGCCUGCCUUCAGAUUACCAAUUUGGGAACGAGGAAGGAAAAGCAGUCAUCUGAAGGAUUCCGUGAAUAACUCCGCAGAUCCGCCCACCACCCCCACAGACCCCGAGAGCGCGGGUUGAAGCGCAUGCGCAGCUCGCCCAGAGCCCCGGCGCUCAGGCCCACACGACGCGUUGUGAAGCCCACGCGUGACCCGUAAGUUUCUUGUUAAGAACGAAAUGUUUCAGACGUAACAUACGGCAAAAGGCAAAAUACGAUUCCCUUCCAGACUCCUCUAGGAAAUGCGCCAGCG